rnacentral:rRNA from 1 species
GACGAACGCUGGCGGCGUGCCUAAUACAUGCAAGUCGAACGCAGUGGGGACGGGUGAGUAACACGUGGGUAACCUCCCAUCAGAGGGGAUAACACUUGGCAACAGGUGCUAAACCGAUACUGAUGGAUGGACCCGCGGUGCAUUAGGUAGUUGGUGAGGUAAAGGCGCACCAAGGCCACGCUGCAUAGCCGGUCUGAGAGGUUGAUCGGCCACCCUGGGACUGAGACACGGCCCAGACUCCUACGGGAGGCAGCAGUAGGGAAUCUUGGGCAAUGGACGAAAGUCUGAACGAGCCAUGCCGCGUGUGUGAAGAAGGUUUUCGGAUCGUAAAGCUCUUUUGUUAGGGAAGCGUUAUCUAACCAGAAAGCCAUGGCUAACUCCGUGCCAGCAGCCGCGGUAAUAC